GUCCCCGUCUUUCCACCAACAAUACGGUAAGGUCCACGUUUAAUGGUCGCACAUUUUCUUUAAAUAAUGAAACUGAUAUAACUUGAAAAACAAACGGUAUUAUUUAUUUACUCACAUGAAACAAACCGGGGUGUGGUAUUCAGUACGUAGGAGAAACUGGACGAUAUUUAUCUAAACGCACUCAAGAACAUCUGUAUCGUUUUAAAAGACCCAAUAAAUUCAAAAGUAUCAUUUACCAACACCUUAAGAAGCAC
rnacentral:lncRNA from 1 species